rnacentral:rRNA from 1 species
UACAGAGGUGGCAAGCGUUGUUCGGAAUUACUGGGCGUAAAGGGCGCGUAGGCGGUCUUUUAAGUCUUGUGUGAAAUCCCUCGGCUCAACUGAGGAACUGCACGGGAUACUGGAAGACUUGAGUUCGGGAGAGGGAAGCGGAAUUCCGGGUGUAGCGGUGAAAUGCGUAGAUAUCCGGAGGAACACCGGUGGCGAAGGCGGCUUCCUGGACCGAUUACUGACGCUGAUGCGCGAAAGCUAGGGGAGCAAACGGG